rnacentral:rRNA from 1 species
UUGAAAGGGAAACGAUUGAAGUCAGUYGUACCGACGAGAAAUCAACUUAUAGUGUGCGAACUUGUGGACGUGCGUGAGUUUCGGCCUCGCUGUUUACAUGUUUGUUCGCUUUGGGUGUACUUUUUCGUAUGGUAGGCCAAUGUCAGUUUCGAUUAUCAUAAAAUGACCGGCGGAAUGUAGCUUCGAUUUCGGUUGAAGUGUUAUAGCCUCUGGUAGAUGUGGUGAUUGGGACUGAGGAUUGCAACGAAUACCCUUUGGGCUAUCCGUCUGGCCUCUGAAAGUUGCUCUGGUGCCGAAAGCGUGCUUACGGUUAUCAAAGUCGAUGGUUAAUAGGUUAAAACGGGUUAAAUUCGUUAAGGAUGUUGACGUAAAUCGANUUCCCGCGGCCGCCA